AUUGAACGCUGGCGGCAGGCCUAACACAUGCAAGUCGAGCGGAUGAAGGGAGCUUGCUCCUGGAUUCAGCGGCGGACGGGUGAGUAAUGCCUAGGAAUCUGCCUGGUAGUGGGGGAUAACGUCCGGAAACGGGCGCUAAUACCGCAUACGUCCUGAGGGAGAAAGUGGGGGAUCUUCGGACCUCACGCUAUCAGAUGAGCCUAGGUCGGAUUAGCUAGUUGGUGGGGUAAAGGCCUACCAAGGCGACGAUCCGUAACUGGUCUGAGAGGAUGGUCAGUCACACUGGAACUGGGACACGGUCCAGGCUCCUACGGGAGGCAGCAGUGGGGAAUAUUAGACAAUGGGCGAAAGCCUGAUCCAGCCAUGCCGCGUGUGUGAAGAAGGUCUUCGGAGUGUAAAGCACUUUAAGUUGGGAGGAAGGGCAGUAAGUUAAUACCUUGCUGUUUUGACGUUACCAACAGAAUAAGCACCGGCUAACUUCGUG
rnacentral:rRNA from 1 species